rnacentral:tRNA from 1 species
AGCUAAUUAAGUUAAUUAAGACUAAAUGUUUUCAAAACAUUAAGUGAAAUUAUUUUCAUUAGUUG